UACAGAGGGUGCAAGCGUUGUUCGGAAUUACUGGGCGUAAAGCGCGUGUAGGCGGCCUUUCAAGUCCUGUGUGAAAUCCCAUGGCUCAACCAUGGAAGUGCACCCGAAACUGCAUAGCUAGAGUCCUGGAGAGGAAGGUGGAAUGCUUGGUGUAGAGGUGAAAUUCGUAGAUAUCAAGCGGAACACCGGUGGCGAAGGCGGCCUUCUGGGAAGAUACUGACGCUGAGGUGCGAAAGCGUGGGGAGCAAACAGG
rnacentral:rRNA from 1 species